AUGCCACAUGCAUUGCCAAUCUGGUACGUAACUUCCAAGCUUUUUUCUACAAAGAAGAAGAAGAAGAAGAAGAAGAAGAAGAGUGAAAUGAGGCCGAUGAAAAUGAGGAACGGUGACAAAGUUGGCAGCCAUGAUCCACAAAGCUUGGCGGACGUCCAAAACCUGUGGAACCAAUGGGAGAUCCACUGCUUGAUAGUGGCAAGCUUCGCCUUGCAAGUGUUCCUCUUCUCCACCGCGGGCCUCCGGCUGCGCAGCUCCUCCCGUGUCGUGGGCGUGCUGCUGUGGCUGGGCUACAUGUCGGCCGACUCCGUCGCCGUGUUCGUCCUGGGCCAUCUCUCCGUCCACACCGCCGGCGGCCACCAGCUGCUUCUCUUCUGGGCGCCCUUCGUGCUCCUCCAUCUGGGCGGCCAGGACACCAUCACGGCUUUCUCCAUGCAGGACAACGCUCUGUGGAUGCGCCACCUGCUGGGCUUCGCCUCGCAGCUGGCGGUGGCCGUCUUCGUCGUCUCCAAGUCGCCCUGGCCAGACCGUCGGCUCCUCGCCGCCAUGCUGCUCAUGUUCCUGUCGGCGUGCAUCAAGUACGGCGAGCGCAUCUACUGCCUCGCCACGGCCAACCCAGAGCGGCUCAUGAAGGAGUUCCUGCGUGGCUUUGAAGACCGCAUACGCUCCAUCAAGGAGAUGCAAGCCAUCGCCAGAGAAGGCCUGGGGUCCUAUCUCAGCAGCCGCACGUUCACCGAGGUGUCCCUGAAUCCUGCCAUGGACAUCAUGUCCACGGACAUCCUGCCCAACUACGACUGGUCCGUCUCCCGCGACGUCUUCUCGGACCUCUACUCCAAGCAGAUCGAUCCUUCCACGCCACAGUACCGUCGCAACGCCUACUUCUUCGCCGAGGACAGGCUCUGGGUCUGCUACCAACGUCUCUACACGAAGGCCGUGUUCCGUCUCUCCCCUGCUGGCGCCUUGCUCCAUCUCCUCGGGUUUCUCUCCACCUCGGCGGCCAUGGCGCUCUUCUUCAUGGCCGGUAAAAGCGGCUACGGCGGAGCUGACGUCGCCGUGUCCACCGUGUUGCUCGUAGGCGCCGUCACUUUGGAGGCAACCUCCUUCGUCAUGUCCAUGUUCUCCCGCGAAGACCUCUGGAGGCACCCGCUCUGCUGCUCCGGCAAGCUCCCUGUGAUCCACUGCGUCUUCUUCAUCACCUGCGGGACUUGCGCUGAUUCGCUAAGGAGGAGGUGGCGGAGACCGCAGUGGUCCAAAACACUAACGCAGUACAGCAUCAUCCAGAGAUCCGUCAAGAGAGCUUCCGGCAGCUCAAUGGUGCCGCGGUGGGUCGUCGAGCGCCUGAGCCCGAGCGCGUCUGGCGUCGAGCGCAUUCCCGUCGCCGACGACCUCAAGCACCUGGUCGUCAAGAAACUGCUAGACGAUAAGAUGAUGGCGACGGACUUCACCAGCUCGCGGGGCGAGGUGGCGCUGGGGAGGCGGUGGGCUGAUCAGCAGCCGCCAGAGAGCCUCAGCCUGUCAGAGAAGGUCCUAAGCGAGAGUGUGAAGGAAGUGGAUUUCCCAACCAGCGUGCUCAUCUGGCACAUUGCCACGGACAUACGCUUCUUCACCGACGCUGCCGGCGAGGCCUCCGCCGACAGAACCAUUAUUAGCAGGCAGCUCUCAGGUUACAUCAUGUACCUCAUCUUCAAGUGCGGCGUCAUGCUCAGCAGCAACUCCAAGUUCCUGCUUCGCAAAGCCGGUGAUGAGAUCACCGCUCUUGUCAAGGCUGGGCGGCGAGAUGAUCGGGAUGAACAACAUGAUGGAUCAUCAUCCCGUGGUAAGAAAGCCAAAGGCAUAGCCAUGGCCGUGCAGCAUUUGGUGGGAUCGCCGCUGUUCGCGCAGGCACGCUCUUCAGACACAGUGCCGGCCAACCCCAGCACCGCUGAUAUCCUCGGUGACCCGGUGCUGCCUCGCGCGUUCAGGGUGGCCGAGUCGCUGGCCGGCGUCCCGGAAGCCGAUCGCUGGGGGCUCAUCGUCGACGUCUGGCUGGAGAUGCUCUACUACAUUGCGCCUCGCUGCGGGGCCGCGUUCCAUCGCGAGCAUCUCAGCACCGGUGGGGAGUUCAUCACGCAUGUCCUCGUCGUAAUGUAUACCAUAGGCCCCCUCGGCUAUCACCCAAGUCUGCUUAAGUUUGGACCUCACUAG
rnacentral:rRNA from 1 species